rnacentral:rRNA from 1 species
UACAUGGGGUGCAAACGUUGCUCGGAAUUAUUGGGCGUAAAGCGCGCGUAGGCGGUUACUUAAGUCGGAUGUGAAAGCCCUCGGCUUAACUGAGGAAGUGCACCCGAAACUGAGUAGCUAGAGUACGAAAGAGGGUCGCGGAAUUCCCGGUGUAGAGGUGAAAUUCGUAGAUAUCGGGAGGAACACCAGUGGCGAAGGCGGCGAUCUGGGUGGAUACUGACGCUGAGGUGCGAAAGCGUGGGGAGCAAACAGG